rnacentral:misc_RNA from 1 species
UACGGAGGGUGCGAGCGUUAUCCGGAAUUACUGGGUUUAAAGGGUGCGUAGGCGGCUUAAUAAGUCAGAGGUGAAAGGUGGCAGCUUAACUGUCAAAUUGCCUUUGAAACUGUUGAGCUUGAAUCAAGAUGAGGUUGGCGGAAUGUGACAUGUAGCGGUGAAAUGCAUAGAUAUGUCACGGAACACCGAAUGCGAAGGCAGCUGACUGGACUUAGAUUGACGCUGAGGCACGAAAGCGUGGGGAGCGAACAGG